rnacentral:rRNA from 1 species
GACGUAGGGGGCGAGCGUUGUCCGGAUUUAUUGGGCGUAAAGCGCGCGUAGGCGGUUCGUUAAGUCGGAUGUGAAAAUCCGGGGCUCGAACCCCGGACCUGCAUCCGAUACUGGCGGACUGGAGGCAGGCAGGGGAGAUCGGAAUUCCUGGUGUAGCGGUGAAAUGCGCAGAUAUCAGGAGGAACACCGGUGGCGAAGGCGGAUCUCUGGGCCUGUCCUGACGCUCAGGCGCGAAAGCUAGGGGAGCAAACAGG